CUCCCCCGCCGUUCCCUCCCAGGGCUCGCGCGCAUCCCUGCUUCCUCGGAGGACUUACACGCGGCCCGAGAGCCCUUUGGGCGCCGUGGUGUCCCCAGGUGGCCUAGCGGUGCGUGGACCUGCGGGGCCGCUGGAGGCGUGCAGGGAGAGAGCAGGGACCUGCCCAGGCCCGAGCGCGGGGAUCCAGGGGCUGGAGGUGUGCAGGAGGCACGGAUUUGCUGAGGGUCGGGUUGUGCACAGGGACCCAGGGGCGACCCGGAUGCUGAUUGAUGGUUUAUGCAGCAUCUGACCCAAACCCGAUCCUCUGCCUGUUUCCACGAUUACUGAUGAGACGGUGCGGUGUGUGAUGAUGUUCAUGCAGCUGAAUUAGAGGAAAUGGAAAUACCUUUUAGAUGGAAUGAACUUUCUAUCCUUAUAUGUUUAUGCAUUGUUUGUUGUUAAAACAUGGAGAAUAUGUCGGAAGAGCAGCUUAAUUCAAAUCUCUCCCCUCCCCCAGCCCAAAACAGGCACAGAGAAAUCACCAUGGUAAACCACACCAGUGUUCCCAAGAUUUAUAUUCUAAUGAAAACAAUCGCCAUCUUUACUCACUUGGAGCCACGUUAAUUUUUUCUUACCAGGAUAUUUCUGCUGCUCUUCCUCAGCUCGGCUCUGUGCAGCGUUUGCUUUUUUCUGGAGCAUUUGGUGCGGUGUGAGUGUGAACUGCAAAAGGUUUUCCGAUUUCAUGUGCAAACAGGAGCCUGGGAAUUGGCAGUCCCUGUCAUUUGGUUGAUGAAUGAUGUGUGCUCCCAGUUAAAUAAGAUUUACUCUGUUCUCGGCAUCAAGGCUGGUCCGGGCUUCCAGGAAGAGUGGGUCAUUUUCUGGAUAUUGCGUAGCGCACUGAUAUUUGACAGUUCACUACAUCCAACAGAAAUGCUCCACAUGUUGUAAUUUUUAAGUAACCAUCAGAGCUGAUUAUAGAGAUGACCUGGCAAUGUUUUGUUUUCAGGGGGGCUUUCUCAGUGGUGAGAAGAUGUAUGAAAAUCCCUACUGGUCAAGAAUAUGCUGCCAAAAUCAUCAACACCAAGAAGCUGUCUGCCAGGGGUAGGUGGUGUCCACCGUGCGUGUCUGUCACCUGUGUGCUUCUCCUGCCACUGGGGUUCUCUGGCAAGCACAUCACAUGGUUGUCGCUGAAUGAUGGACUUAGGUGGCGUGUCACAUACUGAGAUUAGUUCUCCCGAACGCCUCUUGGUCUAUACAGUUUAAAAAUAAAUGAACAAAUAUAACUUAA